rnacentral:rRNA from 1 species
UACGUAGGGGGCAAGCGUUAUCCGGAUUUAUUGGGCGUAAAGAGCGUGUAGGCGGCUAUACAGGUCCGCUGUGAAAACUCGAGGCUCAACCUCGAGACGUCGGUGGAAACCGUAUGGCUAGAGUCCGGAAGAGGAGAGUGGAAUUCCUGGUGUAGCGGUGAAAUGCGCAGAUAUCAGGAAGAACACCCGUGGCGAAGGCGGCUCUCUGGGACGGUACUGACGCUGAGACGCGAAAGCGUGGGGAGCGAACAGG